rnacentral:ncRNA from 1 species
CGGAAAAACCACUACCCUGUUUGGAAUUAUGCUUACCUAUCACAAGGAAUAGGACUAGAUAGAAAGUUUGGCUGGGGCGGCACACCUUCGAAAGAGCAGCGAAGGUGUCCUAAGUUGAGCUCAGUGAGGACAGAAAUCUCACGUUGAGGAUAAGGCCAAAAGCUCAAUUUACUGUGCCUUUUUGUACUAGGAUCAGUUACGAAAGUAAGGCCUAACGAUCCCUAAAUAGCCUCAGGUGCGUGAGGAUUGGGGUGACAGACAAGUUACCUCCGGGACAACUGGCUUGUGGCUGCUAAGAGAUCAAAUCAACGCAGCUUUUUGAUUCUUCGAUGUCGGCUCUUCCUAUCCUAGUGAUGUACAAGUUGCUAAGGGUCGGAUUGUUCACCCGUAUUAGGGAUCGUGAGCUGGGUUUAGACCGUCGUGAGCCAGGUUUGUUUUAUCCUACUGGAUAUAGCAUCAUGAUAGUAGAUUGAUUUAGUACGAGAGGAACUGUUGAUUAUGGCCUCUGGUUAGCGAUUAUCGGAAACGGUAUGUCGCGCAGCUACGCCGUCUGGGAUAAUGGCUGAAAGCCUCUUAAGCCAGAAGCCCAUCUAGAAAGUGAUGCACGUGAUGUUGGACCGAUACGAAUAAUCAUACUCAAAAGGUCCGCUUCAUAGGUAACCCAAUGUAGAAGACAUUGUGUGAACGAAGGUACUGUAAGCAGUGGAGUGGCAUUACGUCCACGACCUGUUGAGGUUCAGCUUCGCUUCUAGGUUUCC